UGGAGUAGAAGCUUCUUCCUGCAGUGUGUCUGUGUCUUCAGUCCUCUGAUGCCGUUGAACCAAUCCCCUGUGUUACAUUCGCUCUGUUAGAAUAGCUGGGGUGGCUUCUGCUCUCUGGACUGGACCUUGAGACCCACGGUUUUAGGGAUGCAACACUGAAGUCAGAGGGUAACAACACCAUGGAGUGAUAGGAGGAGAGACGUGGAGGCUCCAGGAAGGUGUGUGGGGAGGGUGGCACAGCCACCAUCGAGAGAUGAGACCUGGCAGGUGGAGGCUUCAUCUCCUGUGUCAAUUCAGGCAAGAGGAAGAGAGAGGAGGAAGCUUCCAGAUCCAAGCCAGAGGAGGUGGAUGCAGCACCCAUCGCCCAGAGCUUUGGGGCCUGGCCCAGCCUCUACCUGGCCGAGACACCCAACACCAACCCCACCCACUUGGGCAUGCAGAAGAGUCUGAGACAGUGCACACUGACCCGCGGCAGAGUUACAGUGGAGGCUCUGUGUUGGUGACCUGCAUACCUGUGAUUGCUGAGCAGCCUCCUGGAAGGUGGCCCUUCCCAGGGCCAAGGCAGGAAGUAAGAGGUGAGCAGGUCUCUGAGCCCAGGUGGUGUCAGGUGACACCUGUGCAAAGCUGA
rnacentral:lncRNA from 10 species